rnacentral:rRNA from 1 species
GACGAACGCUGGCGGCGUGCUUAACACAUGCAAGUCGAACGGAAAGGCCCCAGCUUGCUGGAGUACUCGAGUGGCGAACGGGUGAGUAACACGUGGGUAAUCUGCCCUGCACUCUGGGAUAAGCCUGGGAAACUGGGUCUAAUACUGGAUAUGACCUUUCUCCUUAUGGGGUGGGGUGGAAAGUUUUUCGGUGUAGGAUGAGCCCGCGGCCUAUCAGCUUGUUGGUGGGGGGAUGGCCUACCAAGGCGACGACGGGUAGCCGGCCUGAGAGGGUGAUCGGCCACAUUGGGACUGAGAUACGGCCCAGACUCCUACGGGAGGCAGCAGUGGGGAAUAUUGCACAAUGGGCGGAAGCCUGAUGCAGCGACGCCGCGUGAGGGAUGACGGCCUUCGGGUUGUAAACCUCUUUCAGCUGGGACGAAGCGUGAGUGACGGUACCUGCAGAAGAAGCACCGGCUAACUAUGUG